GAAAUGCGAUAAGUAGUGUGAAUUGCAGAAUUCAGUGAAUCAUCGAAUCUUUGAACGCACAUUGCGCCCCUUGGUAUUCCAUGGGGCAUGCCUGUUCGAGCGUCAUCUACACCCUCAAGCUCUGCUUGGUGUUGGGCGUCUUUGUCCCGCCUCCGCGCGCGGACUCGCCCCAAAUUCAUUGGCAGCGGUCCUUGCCUCCUCUCGCGCAGCACAUUGCGCUUCUCGAGGUGUUGCGGCCCGCGUCCAGAAAGCAGUCGUUACCGUCUUUGACCUCGGAUCAGGUAGGGAUACCCGCUGAACUUAAGC
rnacentral:misc_RNA from 1 species